AUUACAACCUACGACCAUAGUUAGUCAAUUCGGAUUCGACAAAAAAUUAGUACAGAUAUAAUACGUAUAAAAUUUAUUUUUUAAUUUUUAAAUUCAUUGAAAAAUUCGACUUAGAAAACAGAUUCGGUACAAAAUAUAAAAUAUAUGAUAUAAAAUAUAGGAUAAUUUAUAUUCAAAAAUAAAAACUAUAAGUUUUUUAUUUAUAUUUUCAAUAAUUCGCGAAUAAUUCACGAAUAAUUCGGCUGGUCCAAAAAUUCGCGAAUAAUUCUCUUUUUUUGAAAAAAAUUCGUAAACGGACAGUUUAAUUCGGAUUUUCAAUAAUUCGCAAAUAAUUCACGAAUAAUUCGUGAAUUAACUAACUAGGGCUACGACAACUUUGUAGCACAUAAUAU
rnacentral:lncRNA from 1 species